AUUUCAUUUUCCUGACCCAGUGACUUCUGUAGCAUUCCUCUGAAAGCUUCUCUUGCAGCGGGCACUCUGUAUGGAGGAACUUGGCAGAGGAAAAACCCUUCAGUUCUCAGCUCCGUGAGUGGGGAAGGCAGAAGGCGUACUUGGUCAACAGGACCCUACAGCUUCCACUACCAUACCUGUAGACCUAGGAUCCCGAGUCUGAAACGAAGCCCUCUUCUGUAGAUGUGUAGCCUCUCAAG